rnacentral:misc_RNA from 1 species
GAUGAAGAACGUAGCGAAAUGCGAUACGUAAUGUGAAUUGCAAAUUCAGUGAAUCAUCGAGUCUUUGAACGCACAUUGCGCCCCCUGGUAUUCCGGGAGGCAUGCCUGUCCGAGCGUCAUUGCUGCCCUCAAGCACGGCUUGUGUGUUGGGCCCCGUCCUCCGAUCCCGGGGGACGGGCCCGAAAGGCAGCGGCGGCACCGCGUCCGGUCCUCGAGCGUAUGGGGCUUUGUCACCCGCUCUGUAGGCCCGGCCGGCGCUUGCCGAUCAACCCAAAUUUUUAUCCAGGUUGACCUCGGAUCAGGUAGGGAUACCCGCUGAACUUAAGCAUAUCAAUAAGCGGAGGA